CCGUCGAUAGCUCAGUUGGUAGAGCGGAGGACUGUAGAUCCUUAGGUCGCUGGUUCAAAUCCGGCUCGACGGA